GUCAUCAUGUGAUGAAUAUUGGAAAAAAUCUUAGGACACCUUCCUACACAGGCUCUCUUUAGCUGUGGAUGAGAAUAACUUUUCCAUUCUGAUGAUGAU